AGCUUCUUGCGCCUAUCAAGCGACCUGUGGGAUUACUUUCAUCAGUAUUAACUCAGAAGAAGAAGAAGAAGACUAAGAUUAGGAUGUACCUAUCUUUUCUGUGCAAGGCAUGUCUCAAAGAUCCAUUAACCAUAAACUCAGUCACAGUCGCCAUACUUUCACCAGGUCCUUUUGGUACAACCCCAUAAAAGGCCACCACAUUUGGAUGGUGAAGAUUCGCCAAGAUCCUAGCUUCCCUCCAGAAAUCUUUUUUCUGUACAAAAACACCAGUGUGGAACUAAUGGAGGAGACAUACAUAUGAUACAAACUUGACUUAGAGUUAAACCUGUCGAUCUUGCUCGGAUGAUCUACCAGAGAAACAACUAUUCUUUAUCCUCUUGAUAGCUACAUCAGUCCCUCUCCACUUCCCAUAAUAAACAGUUCCAAACGUCCCAGAUCCUAGCUCAUGUAAGUCCUCAAGAUCUGUAUUCUUUAUAAUCUGAACUUACAAAGACCAAAGUCAAUGAUAAACAACACUUAAAAAUAUAACCAACUGUCUGAAAACUUUUUGUUACUUGUAAGUUAUAGAUUCCAGCUUCUCCAAUUGUGUAUUUUUUCCUUUACCAUAUUUUUCCUGCAUAAUAAAUAGAUAUCAUCACAGCAACACAAAGAAACUCUACUAGAAAAAGAAAAAAAAACAAAGUUACCUCCAUUCUAGACAUAGAACAAACACUUGUGCUCUCUCCUUCUCUUGUAUAGGAGUUGUUAUCAUUUGACUUAAUAUUAAUUACAUGAGGAACAAUAGUUGAAAGACAUGCCGAUUAAAUGUAAGAGAAAUUUUCUAUGAUAUCCUAUUUUGUUUAUUUUCACCAAAAAACCUCAUACGAAAGAAAAUGACGAAAACAAGUUUCAUUAAAAAUAAAAAAUAAAAUAUACAUUUAAGAUUAAUUAAGGGCAAUUGUCAAUAAUAUCAUCUUUUGAGUUUUUGUUUCAAAAAUGACACUAGAAGGAGAAAGUCACAAAAAUAACAUUCAUUAAAGGGUAAAAUAUCUCUAAUACCCAUGGUUUAAAAUUAAAUAAACAAACAAAAAUAAAUAAAAACAAAUAAAAAAAAAA